CUGCACACAAAGAAAGGAGAGAUUAUUUAUGUUCUUGAAAAUCUAGAGGAGCUUUCAUCAAUGAGAAUAGUUUGGGGAUAAUGGUGAAAGGUUUGAAGUGUCUUUUGUAUUUCAAGCCUGUCAGCAGGAUCCUCACGUGUUGAGCCUUCUGGUAUAUAUCAAACCCAAUGAGAAUAUCCUUAUUAGGUAAAUCUAAACCAAUGAUUUUGGUCCAUACCGUGUAAUUGGGGAAAAACUGUAUUCUAAUGGGCCGUCUAGAAAUCAGGUUGGUUUUGAAAACUUUGCCAUCUGCAGCCUUGAAAUAUUCUGAGUGGGGAAGCCAUUCUUCUGGAGGUAAAAUGGUUGUGUUCAUCAUACUCUUGUGAGCACCAGUGUCAAGGAAACCAAUAACUGAGAUGGGCCGAGAGUAUUUCUCUGGAAGGAUGGAUAAUGAAACCAAAGGAACUUGAAUGGUUUGUUGAUGGGUUUCUUGUUGUAUUUGGG
rnacentral:misc_RNA from 1 species